rnacentral:rRNA from 1 species
CAGCAGCCGCGGGAAUACGGAGGGGGCUAGCGUUGUUCGGAAUUACUGGGCGUAAAGCGCACGUAGGCGGCUUGGUAAGUUAGAGGUGAAAGCCCAGGGCUCAACCCUGGAAUUGCCUUUAAGACUGCCGAGCUAGUAGGUGAGAGAGGUGAGUGGAAUUCCGAGUGUAGAGGUGAAAUUCGUAGAUAUUCGGAAGAACACCAGUGGCGAAGGCGGCUCACUGGCUCAUUCUAGACGCUGAGGUGCGAAAGCGCGGGGAGCAAACAGGAUUAGAUACCCCGGUAGUCCCUGUCUCUUAUAC